UCUCCUGUAGCUCAGUGACAGAGCGUCCGACCGAUGUGUGGAAGAUCAUAAGUUCGAUUCAUGUUGGGAGAA
rnacentral:tRNA from 1 species